rnacentral:rRNA from 1 species
UAGGGAAUCUUCCACAAUGGACGAAAGUCUGAUGGAGCAACGCCGCGUGAGUGAUGAAGGGUUUCGGCUCGUAAAACUCUGUUGUUGGAGAAGAACGGGUGUCAGAGUAACUGUUGACAUCGUGACGGUAUCCAACCAGAAAGCCACGGCUAACUACGUGCCAGCAGCCGCGGUAAUACGUAGGUGGCAAGCGUUGUCCGGAUUUAUUGGGCGUAAAGCGAGCGCAGGCGGUUUUUUAGGUCUGAUGUGAAAGCCUUCGGCUUAACCGGAGAAGUGCAUCGGAAACCGGGAGACUUGAGUGCAGAAGAGGACAGUGGGACUCCAUGUGUAGCGGUGAAAUGCGUAGAUAUAUGGAAGAACACCAGUGGCGAAGGCGGCUGUCUGGUCUGCAACUGACGCUGAGGCUCGAAAGCAUGGGUAGCGAACAGGAUUAGAUACCCUGGUAGUCCAUGC